CCAGACUCCUACGGGAGGCAGCAGUGGGGAAUAUUGGGCAAUGGAUGCAAGUCUGACCCAGCAACGCCGCGUGAAGGAAGAAGGCUUUCGGGUUGUAAACUUCUUUUAAGGGGGAAGAGCAGAAGACGGUACCCCUUGAAUAAGCCACGGCUAACUACGUGCCAGCAGCCGCGGUAAUACGUAGGGGGCGAGCGUUAUCCGGAUUCACUGGGUGUAAAGGGAGCGUAGACGGCCAAGCAAGCCAGGGGUGAAAGCCCGGGGCCCAACCCCGGGACUGCCCUUGGAACUGCACGGCUGGAGUGCGGGAGGGGCAGGCGGAAUUCCUGGUGUAGCGGUGAAAUGCGUAGAUAUCAGGAGGAACACCGGCGGCGAAGGCGGCCUGCUGGACCGCGACUGACGUUGAGGCUCGAAAGCGUGGGGAGCAAACAGGAUUAGAUACCCCCGUAU
rnacentral:rRNA from 1 species